ensembl:lncRNA
UUAAUCAAUGAGAGAAGAUUUGAAAUAGACAAGAUGGAGGUGUACACAUUGUUGGAUUAAUUCAUGGAGCAUUUUCUAAAUUCAAACAUACCACAUGCAACUGGACACAGAUAUUUUGAAGGAUACAUGUUUGACUGAAUCGAGAACAAAGAUAAUAUCAGCAAGUUAAGGGGUUAUGACUGCAUUGAAUGAGAAGCUGGCCAUGUCCAUAUCUAGAUGCUUUGAAUGUUCAUGGUGAAUGUUGAAAAGCUGCUUGAUGCAUGUUCGACAAUGGUAGCAGAGGAGGAGAAGGAGAUAUUGGCGGGUCGGAGACGGUUGACAUCAUGUCGGACGAGAUCGUUGAGGGGAUCGUUGGGUGGUGAGACCUCCUAGGUUCCGCAGCGAGGAGCUCACUACUUUGUGUAAGGUGCUGCAAGGAAGUCUGGAGGCUGACCACAGGUUUCAGGCUACACACUCCAGAUGUCACACCAUAGGGGUGGCAGGGUAGCCUAGUGGUUAGAGUGUUGGACUAGUAACCAAAAGGUUGCAAAUUCAAAUCCCCAAGCUGACAAGGUACAAAUCUGUCAUUCUGCCCCUGAACAGGCAGUUAACCCACUGUUCAAUGACAUCAUUGAAAAUAAGAGUUUGUUCUUAACUGACUUGCCUAGUAAAAUAAAAAGGAAC